UGAAUGUCCUACCUUUACAGGUGUCAUCUCGUCAUCUGCCCAGCCCCCCUGAGGCUGGUGCUGCUGUUGCAUCCCUAUUCUCCAGAUGAAGAAACCAAGACACAAAGGAUCAACCGAUUACCCAGAAUCCUCUAGCAUGGUGGAGCUCAGAUUUGAAUCCAGGUGGCCUGACUCCAGAGCCCACACUCCCAGCCACUGAGCCACACUGCUUCACGAGAGGAGGCAGAGGGGUGGGCAGGCCAUGCUAAAGCUUGGGGUCUUCUCCUUGGGCAGGUAAAGGAAGAGACCGGAGCUCAAGCUCUCUCUGCCCCGUGAGGACACAGCCAGAA